UACGGAGGGUGCAAGCGUUAUCCGGAUUCACUGGGUUUAAAGGGUGUGUAGGCGGGUAUUUAAGUCAGUGGUGAAAUCUCCGAGCUCAACUCGGAAACUGCCAUUGAUACUAUUUAUCUUGAAUUCUGUUGAGGUGGGCGGAAUACAUCAUGUAGCGGUGAAAAUGCUUAGAUAUGAUGUAGAACACCGAUUGCGAAGGCAGCUCACUAAGCAGCGAUUGACGCUGAGGCACGAAAGCGUGGGGAUCAAACAGG
rnacentral:rRNA from 1 species